rnacentral:sRNA from 1 species
GCUGGGUGUGGUGGUGCAUGCUUAUAAUCCCAGCGACUUGGGAGGCUGAGACAGGAGGAUCACAAGUUAGAGGCCAACCUCUGCAACUUAGCGAGACCCUGUCUCAU